UGCAAGUCGGGGGAAUCCCAGCAAUGGGGGAACCGGCGUAAGGGGCAGUAAGGCAUGGGUACCUACCCUGAAGUUCGGGAUAGCCAUCAGAGAUGGUGGGUAAUACCGGAUGAUGUCGUGAGACCAAAGAUUUAUCGCUUUGGGAGGGGCCCAUGUGAUAUUAGCUAGUUGGUGAGGUAACGGCUCACCAAGGCGAAGAUGUCUAGCGGGUAUGAGAGUACGACCCGCGCCACUCGCACUGAGACACUGGCGAGACACCUACGGGUGGCUGCAGUCGAGAAUCUUCGGCAAUGGGCGCAAGCCUGACCGAGCGACACCGCGUGCGGGAUGAAGGCCUUCGGGUUGUAAACCGCUGUCGUAGGGGAGGAAGGUGCCGUGAAGAACGGCGCUUGACCGAUCCUAGGAGGAAGGGCCGGCUAAUCUCGUGCCAGCAGCCGCGGUAAUACGAGAGGCCCAAACGUUAUUCGGAUUUACUGGGCUUAAAGAGUUCGUAGGCGGCUUGGAAAGUGGGGUGUGAAAGCCCUCGGCUCAACCGAGGAAUUGCGCUCCAAACUGCCGAGCUUGAGUAGGCUAGAGGUGAGCAGAACUGAUGGUGGAGCGGUGAAAUGCGUUGAUAUCAUCAGGAAUACCGGAGGCGAAGGCGGCUCACUGGGACCUAACUGACGCUGAGGAACGAAAGCUAGGGGAGCAAACGGGAUUAGAUACCCCGGUAGUCCUAGCCGUAAACGAUGGGAACUAGGUAGGGGGGUUGCCUAUGAGCCUCUCUGCCGGAGCUAAUGUGUUAAGUGCUCCGCCUGGGGAGUAUGGUCGCAAGGCUGAAACUCAAAUGAAUUGACGGGG
rnacentral:rRNA from 1 species